rnacentral:rRNA from 1 species
GAUGAACGCUGGCGGCGUGCUUAACACAUGCAAGUCGAACGAUGAAGCCCAGCUUGCUGGGUGGAUUAGUGGCGAACGGGUGAGUAACACGUGAGUAACCUGCCCUUAACUCUGGGAUAAGCCUGGGAAACUGGGUCUAAUACCGGAUAGGAGCGUCCACCGCAUGGUGGGUGUUGGAAAGAUUUAUCGGUUUUGGAUGGACUCGCGGCCUAUCAGCUUGCUGGUGAGGUAAUGGCUCACCAAGGCGACGACGGGUAGCCGGCCUGAGAGGGUGACCGGCCACACUGGGACUGAGACACGGCCCAGACUCCUACGGGAGGCAGCAGUGGGGAAUAUUGCACAAUGGGCGCAAGCCUGAUGCAGCGACGCCGCGUGAGGGAUGACGGCCUUCGGGUUGUAAACCUCUUUCAGUAGGGAAGAAGCGAAAGUGACGGUACCUGCAGAAGAAGCACCGGCUAACUACGUG